rnacentral:lncRNA from 11 species
CAGACUCAGACCCAUCACUUGCCUGCCAGUGCCAUCUACCCCAGCUGUUAGAGUGCCAGGUUUGAGAGAGUCCAUACCUUCUAUUUGGAGAAGAACAGUAGAUUUGCUACUGCUGCCUGUCCCUCUGCUUGGCGGUCCUCAAAUUAACAUUUGCCUGGCCAAUUUUAUAUAAGGUUUUAUUUAUCUUACAGAAAGGAUGUGUUUUUCUAAGGAGGAAGUCCUCGGAUUUGUGGGGCAGCCAUUGGAGUCAUACAAAACAGGAGGAGAUGCAGAAGGGGGAGACAGCUUCAGCACCAACAAAAGGGGGAGCGAAAUACAGUGCUUAUUGCCCCCAAACUGUCUCCUAUAUCUAAUAACCUGGAUAACAGGGUGGCGACCCCCUUGGUUGAAAAUGCUGUUGUUGAAUGCCAGGGACUGACCAAUCUCGCUCUACUCUCAAUGAACUGCUUUCCAACCUGAAAUCUACACACCAUCCUGAAGGCAUUGACAGUAUCGCCCUCGUGGGAAGUGUCACUCAAACAUCUAUCCUGGAAAUCCCUAGUCCAAAGUGCCAUCACCGCAGCACACAGUGUCAAGAAUUGAGGGUGCUUUCUGCAUGCAAUAAACUCUGCAUCUUCAGACCACACUCAGUGGGGACAGUCUUUGUUCCCAAGGUCAAUGUAACCUUUCACAGAGUGCAGGAAGUCAUCCAUCCUUCUGUCCAUGCCCAUCAAAGAAGUUGGAAAAGAUCUGGCACAGCCUCUGUAUGUGCAAGACCAUUUGAAUUUAUUUGAAAAGAACAAGCAGCUUCUGGCCCUCAGGUGCAUUAUUUGUCUCCUUCCAACCAUACUCCCAAGGACAAGAUAGUCUCCACUUCCUCUCUGAGCAAAUGGAUCAUAGUUACCUCUCCAAAGCAUUGGAAGUUCCUCCAUGUAAGGGCGUUGUGGUGCACUCCACCAGAAGUGUGGCCAUUACAACAGCCUUUUCAAACAACGUUCCUCUAACAAAAAUCUGCAGAUCAACUGUGUGUAAAUUACUCCCCACGUUCAUCAGAGAUUAUUCAUUGGACAGCUUUGAUUCUGCUGAAGCCACUUUUGGCAGAUAGUCAAAUCCUAGAUCUGUGGGAUGCCAGCACUGCCCACCCC